GUGGGGAAUCUUCCGCAAUGGACGAAAGUCUGACGGAGCAACGCCGCGUGAGUGAAGAAGGUUUUCGGAUCGUAAAGCUCUUUCGUUAGGGACGAACGUGCUCUUUGUGAAUAAUGAGGAGUAAUGACGGUACCUAAAUAAGAAGCCACGGCUAACUACGUGCCAGCAGCCGCGGUAAUACGUAGGUGGCAAGCGUUGUCCGGAAUUAUUGGGCGUAAAGCGCGCGCAGGCGGGAUAUCAAGUCUGUCUUAAAAGUGCGAGGCUCAACCUCGUGAGGGGACAGAAACUGGUAUUCUUGAGUGUCGGAGAGGAAAGUGGAAUUCCAAGUGUAGCGGUGAAAUGCGUAGAGAUUUGGAAGAACACCAGUGGCGAAGGCGACUUUCUGGACGAUGUCUGACGCUGAGGCGCGAAAGCUAGGGGAGCAAACAGGAUUAGAUACCCUAGUAGUCC
rnacentral:rRNA from 1 species